rnacentral:rRNA from 1 species
GAACGCUGGCGGCAUGCCUUACACAUGCAAGUCGGACGGUUCUUGUACCUUCAAGCUUGCUUGUUGGUGCAAGGAUAGUGGCGGACGGGUGAGUAACGCGUGAACAUCUACCCAUUGGAGGGGGACAACCCGUCGAAAGGCGGGCUAAUACCGCGUAAGCCGCGAGGUGAGAGGCUGCCUAUUGGUGGCCGCCGAUGGAUGGGUUCGCGUCCUAUCAGCUGGUUGGUGGGGUAACGGCCUACCAAGGCGAAGACGGGUAGCUGGUCUGAGAGGAUGAUCAGCCACACUGGAACUGAGACACGGUCCAGACUCCUACGGGAGGCAGCAGUGAGGAAUAUUGCGCAAUGGGGGCAACCCUGACGCAGCAACGCCGCGUGAGUGAGGAAGGUUUUCGGAUUGUAAAGCUCUGUCGAGCGGAAAGAAAUGCACGAUGGCUAAUAUCCAUCAUGCUUGACGGUACCGCUAGAGGAAGCACCGGCUAACUCCGUG